rnacentral:misc_RNA from 1 species
UACGGAGGGUGCAAGCGUUGCUCGGAAUCACUGGGCGUAAAGCGUACGCAGGCGGCGCAGUAGGUCGGGUGUGAAAGCCCGGGGCUCAACCCCGGAACUGCAUUCGAAACCCCUGCGCUUGAAUACUGGAGAGGGAAGCGGAAUUCCUGGUGUAGAGGUGAAAUUCGUAGAUAUCAGGAGGAACACCAGCGGCGAAAGCGGCUUCCUGGCCAGAUAUUGACGCUCAUGUACGAAAGCGUGGGGAGCAAACAGG